UGGUGGAAUGACAAGUGACUGUCGUUCUGCUGCUAUGGAGAAUGUGCACUCAGAGGAAGACAGCGAUUUCAAGAGGACAUUAUGCUUUUCUGGAAAGUAUCUUCAGGAGGCAGGUAAAAG